CGCAGGGCAACUGCGCCCUCGCCGAAAAAAA
rnacentral:sRNA from 1 species